AGGCUUUUUUUUGCCUGACGAAAGAAAACGAAUGGAGCAGCGCACGAGUGUGCGCACAUUUAGGAAAAGCUGUUCAGAUGCCCCAACCUUGCAGUGAAGGAGGCUGAAGAUGAUGAGAACAUUGAGGAGGAAGAUGUUCCUGUGGAGAAGCCUAAAAAGGUUCCUCAUGCCAAAAGAAAGAAGCAGACCCAAUGCAAACUUACAUGGAUUGGAGAAUUCACACUGAGGGAACGAAGCAAUACUACAGGAAGGUCUCUUUGAAUGAUGAACUGCUGGAGGUAGGAGACUGUGUCUCAGUUUCAUCAGAGGAUCCAUCCAUUCCUCUGUAUCUGGCAAGGUAAGUGUUUCAGACACCGUAUAAUAAUAUUUAUCAAGUGGAGGGUUUCCCACUGUGCGGCAAGCUUUUUUGUUGUUGUUGUUUCCCACAA